CCUACGGGAGGCAGCAGUGAGGAAUAUUGGUCAAUGGACGAGAGUCUGAACCAGCCAAGUAGCGUGAAGGAUGACUGCACUAUGGGUUGUAAACUUCUUUUAUAUGGGAAUAAAAUGUUCCACGUGUGGGAUUUUGUAUGUACCAUAUGAAUAAGGAUCGGCUAACUCCGUGCCAGCAGCCGCGGUAAUACGGAGGAUCCGAGCGUUAUCCGGAUUUAUUGGGUUUAAAGGGUGCGCAGGCGGAAGCGGCAAGUCAGCGGUAAAAUUGCGGGGCUCAACCUCGCCGAGCCGUUGAAACUGCUCUUCUAGAGUGGGCGAGAAGUAUGCGGAAUGCGUGGUGUAGCGGUGAAAUGCAUAGAUAUCACGCAGAACUCCGAUUGCGAAGGCAGCAUACCGGCGCCCAACUGACGCUCAUGCACGAAAGCGUGGGUAUCGAACAGGAUUAGAUACACCAGUAGUC
rnacentral:rRNA from 1 species